UACGUAGGGUGCAAGCGUUGUCCGGAAUUACUGGGCGUAAAGGGCGCGUAGGCGGCCCGCUAAGUCGAACGUGAAAUCCCCAGGCUCAACCUGGGAACUGCGUCCGAUACUGGCAGGCUUGAAUCCGGGAGAGGGAUGUGGAAUUCCAGGUGUAGCGGUGAAAUGCGUAGAUAUCUGGAGGAACACCGGUGGCGAAGGCGGCAUCCUGGACCGGCAUUGACGCUGAGGCGCGAAAGCUAGGGGAGCAAACGGG
rnacentral:rRNA from 1 species